rnacentral:lncRNA from 1 species
ACUCAGUGCCAGUACACAUGCUCUAGAGGACUUCUGGACUCGCAGCUACAACUGUACAAGUGCACACAAGAAAAUCUACCCUGUUAUCCUCCACCCACUGAUUGAGGAUCCAAUUGCACAUUUCUCUUAACCAUGACAGGAGAAAGCAAACAGUGAAACAGAAUCAUGGGUGAUCUUUCUCACUUUCCCUCUUGUUUUCAUUGGUUUGUCCAUACCAUUCUAAUUAUCAUGAAAGGGCUCUGCGUAUAGAGAGAUUGCUUCACUGACUUCCUGGAUCACCGAAAACCAUCAGGGUUGAAAUUUCAUCCAAGUCUUUCGUGACGCCCAGCAAAUAUUCCCUCUCGGAUUAUUUUACACCUAGAGGGCAUUUUGGUCUUCAGUUCAACACUCUUGCUCUGUUCCCAAAUGGGGCGCUAUUUAGGGGAAUUUAAAGAGAAAGCUGAGAAGAAUAAACAUUUACCGAGUUCUCUUGGCAUUCAGUCUCUGAAAAACCACAGUAUAAACUAUUCAUGCUGCUUCUUACAUCUGUCAAAUCGAAAAUUAAAAGCCAUAAAAGUGUAACACUGAAAAUAUGGCAUUAAAAAGGAUAAAGGUGGCCUUUGUAAAAAUAACAAGAAAAGUAUAUUAGCCAAUAAAAUAUUCUAACUCUUCAUUUAAAAGUGCAUCCUGGGCAGGACAGAGAUGAAUCUGAAGCGUUGGGACUCCAGUAUGAUCCCUCUCCGCCGUCAAAACGUGGACAGUAUAGGUCCAAAACCGUACAAUGCAAAUCACAAUUCUUAGUGUAGCAGCAAAACCACAGCAGUUUUUAAAAAGAUUAAAAAAAGAUUUUUGUUUUCAAAUCCAUAUCAUCUUCCAGCCUCACCCUCUGAGCCUGGAAGAUGGAGCGGGGAGAAUACCUACAUUGGUCCUUGUGGCUUGUUGGUGUUUUGUUUUUUUAAAACCAGGGGCGAAAUCCCUAAGUUCCUCUGGGAGAAGCAGAGAUGGUGGCAGCAGGAAGGCUGGGCCCGCUUGGUGGGUCCAAGACGUGCUGGCUUCUCUGGGCUAGAGGCCACGGAGGGAGGGCUGCUUCCUCUGAGAUGCUUAAUGACAGGAAGCGGCUUUAUUUGCUUGAGUUUUAGCCAGAGGGGGUGGUGAGCUGACCAGCUGGUGUCAUUGGAUGGUGUGACAUGGUUUGCUCUGCGCCCUCUCUCCAUGCAAGGUACCCUGUGAGUGAGCGUUCCUGGAAAAAGAGGAGAAGGGGCCUGUCAGCACCUACUGGACCAAACCAGCCCCCCCACCUCCCACACUGGGGAGAACCCAGGCAUGAGUCAGACCAGCACACUCUCCAGCCAUCAGGUCAGACCUAAGAUGAGUCCCUAAAAUUAAGGCAGCACAGCGUGAUUUCGACAUGACUUUCAUUCACGGUUCUGCUCAGGAUGCAACCCUGCCAGCUCUGCGUGAGGAAAUGAAACUCGAGUCGCUUUUUGGAAUACCACAAUGAGCAUGGUGCACCACGCCCUCACUCAAAGACCACAACAGCAUCCUUUGCGACCUGGCAACUUUCACUCUCCACGUUACUGCACGCUUAACUGGCAGAAGGUCUUCUGAGUUGCCCAAGGUCACCCCAAAGCCAGACAAGCCUGGAGCUCCAGACCUCACCCCUGUACUCCAUGCCCUGGUGUUUACUGCUAAGGAGGAAAGCCAAGAGAUUCACAUUUUAGGACAUGAAAAUUUACUGUGGACACAUAGACCUCUCUUCCUAUGGUUUCCUAUGGAGGCAACUAAGCUGGCAGAAAUGCCCCUCUCUGUGGGUCUUGCUGACAAAGUAGGCACCCAGAGUAAUAUUUCCAAAGGAUGGACUGACUUCCCAGGAAGAGCACUCUCUAAUACUUCAGCAGGACAAACUAAACUGGCAGAAAGUUACCUCUCAUCUGCACCCUUCUGGCUUUCCUAACGAGGUGAGCUCCCUGUCUCUGACAUAGACCUUUCUGGGAUUGUGGCUCCAUGACCAAACUAAUAAUUAAACUCUAAACUCCCGAAAGCCCAAACUACAGCCCCCUCCUCGAGCUCUCCCAGAGAAAACAAAAAGUGGAAGGAACCCCUGCUGCUGAGGCUGGGAGAGCACCACGGAAUUGGGGCCAGGGAACAGAGUCUCAUAUUUUCUUUCUGGUUUUAGAAACACAUAAGAAAUUUGGGAGCCACAAAGGUGGGAAGUUGUAUGGACUUGUUGCUCCUCAGGAAUGGAAAAAUUGAGGCUGAAUGGGUUACUCAUGGUACACAUUUUUUCCAUUGAUUAUUUUAUUUAAAGAGAAUAUGUCAUUUCCCUGGAAAAUCGAGGAGGGGGGAUAUUUUCUUUUGAAUAUCUUCAAACAUUUGCAAAUGGUUACUCUGAACUCCCCAGCGUACCGUAAACAAGUGUAAACUGCAGAAAUUCAGAAAAUGUACAAAUAGAAACAGCUAUCCCCCAAGCUCCAAGGCAAAGAAACGAAGGGAGUAUUCCAUUUAUAAAUGGAAUUCUUUGUGGAUAGAAUAGUUUGGGAAAUGUUUAUACAUUGUUUUCCUUAUUAUUUGGGGGGAUUUUUUUUCCAGCUUACAGAAGCUGUAGAACUGGUAUUUGGAGUCUCAAAAGUUGAAGAUUAAAGGAAGUUUACAACCUUUUUAAAAUCUUCGACUAAACUUAAUUAGUUCUGCAUCUAGGAAAACAUCUGCCCAUUGAAGUCACUUGUAGUCAUAUCAACAAAC